GGAGCUUGCUCCUCUGAUCAGUGGCGAACGGGUGAGUAACACGUGAGCAACCUGCCCCAGACUCUGGGAUAACAGUUGGAAACAGCUGCUAAUACCGGAUACGAGACGGAGAGGCAUCUCUACCGUCUGGAAAGUUUUUCGGUCUGGGAUGGACUCGCGGCCUAUCAGCUAGUUGGUGAGGUAAUGGCUCACCAAGGCGACGACGGGUAGCCGGCCUGAGAGGGCGACCGGCCACACUGGGACUGAGACACGGCCCAGACUCCUACGGGAGGCAGCAGUGGGGAAUAUUGCACAAUGGGCGAAAGCUUGAUGCAGCGACGCCGCGUGAGGGAUGACGGCCUUCGGGUUGUAAACCUCUUUCAGCAGGGAAGAAGCGAAAGUGACGGUACCUGCAGAAGAAGCACCGGCUAACUACGUGCCAGCAGCCGCGGUAAUACGUAGGGUGCGAGCGUUGUCCGGAAUUAUUGGGCGUAAAGAGCUUGUAGGCGGUUUGUCGCGUCUGCAGUGAAAAUCCCGAGGCUCAACCCUCGGACUUGCUGUGGGUACGGGCAGACUAGAGUAUGGUAGGGGAGACCGGAAUUCCUGGUGUAGCGGUGGAAUGCGCAGAUAUCAGGAGGAACACCGAUGGCGAAGGCAGGUCUCUGGGCCAUAACUGACGCUGAGAAGCGAAAGCAUGGGGAGCGAACAGGAUUAGAUACCCUGGUAGUCCAUGCCGUAAACGUUGGGCGCUAGGUGUGGGGCUCAUUCCAC
rnacentral:rRNA from 1 species